rnacentral:rRNA from 1 species
UACAGAGGGUGCGAGCGUUAAUCGGAAUUACUGGGCGUAAAGGGUGCGUAGGUGGUUAAAUAAGUCAGAUGUGAAAGCCCUUGGCUUAACUGAGGAAGUGCAUCCGAAACUGGCAAGCUAGAGUACUAAAGAGGGUCGCGGAAUUCCCGGUGUAGAGGUGAAAUUCGUAGAUAUCGGAAGGAACACCGGUGGCGAAGGCGGCGACGUGGGUAGAUACUGACGCUGAGGUGCGAAAGCGUGGGGAACAAACAGG